rnacentral:rRNA from 1 species
CCUACGGGUGGCAGCAGUGAGGAAUAUUGGUCAAUGGACGAGAGUCUGAACCAGCCAAGUAGCGUGAAGGAUGACUGCCCUAUGGGUUGUAAACUUCUUUUAUAUGGGAAUAAAAUGUUCCACGUGUGGGAUUUUGUAUGUACCAUAUGAAUAAGGAUCGGCUAACCCCGUGCCAGCAGCCGCGGUAAUAAGGAGGAUCCGAGCGUUAUCCGGAUUUAUUGGGUUUAAAGGGAGCGUAGGUGGAUUGUUAAGUGAGGUGUGAAAGUUUGCGGCACAACCGUAAAAUUGCAGUUGAAACUGGCAGUCUUGAGUACAGUAGAGGUGUGCGGAAUUCGUGGUGUAGCGGUGAAAUGCGUAGAGAUCACGAAGAACUCCGAUUGCGAAGGCAGUUCACUGGACUGCAACUGACACUGAGGCUCGAAAGUGUGGGUAUCAAACAGGAUUAGAUACCCUAGUAGUC